GACGAACGCUGGCGGCGUGCUUAACACAUGCAAGUCGAACGGAAAGGCCCUGCUUUUGUGGGGUGCUCGAGUGGCGAACGGGUGAGUAACACGUGAGUAACCUGCCCUUUACUUUGGGAUAACUUCAGGAAACUGGGGCUAAUACCGGAUAGGAGCUCCUGCUGCAUGGUGGGGGUUGGAAAGUUUCGGCGGUUGUGGAUGGACUCGCGGCUUAUCAGCUUGUUGGUGGGGUAGUGGCUGACCAAGGCUUUGACGGAUAGCCGGCAUGAGAGCGUGGCCGGCGACAAUGGGACUGAGAGACGGAGCAGACGGGUACGGGAGGCAGCAGGGGAGAGUAUGACACAGUGGGGCGAAGCCUGAGGCAGAGACGCUGCGAGCGGGAUGACGGGCUUCGGGGUGUAAACCGCUUUCGCCUGUGACGAAGCGUGAGUGACGGUAAUGGGUAAAGAAGCACCGGCUAACUACGUG
rnacentral:rRNA from 1 species